rnacentral:rRNA from 1 species
CAGCAGUAGCCGCGGUAAUACGGAGGGUGCAAGCGUUAAUCGGAAUUACUGGGCGUAAAGCGUGCGUAGGCGGUUCGUUAAGUCUGUUGUGAAAGCCCCGGGCUCAACCUGGGAAUGGCAAUGGAUACUGGCGAGCUAGAGUGUGUCAGAGGAUGGUGGAAUUCCCGGUGUAGCGGUGGAAUGCGUAGAGAUCGGGAGGAACAUCAGUGGCGAAGGCGGCCAUCUGGGACAACACUGAUGCUGAGGCACGAAAGCGUGGGGAGCAAACAGGAUUAGAUACCCGGGUAGUCCCUGUCUCUUAUAC